rnacentral:rRNA from 1 species
CCUACGGGCGGCAGCAGUGGGGAAUAUUGCACAAUGGGGGGAACCCUGAUGCAGCGACGCCGCGUGAGUGAAGAAGUAUUUCGGUAUGUAAAGCUCUAUCAGCAGGGAAGAAAAUGACGGUACCUGACUAAGAAGCCCCGGCUAACUACGUGCCAGCAGCCGCGGUAAUACGGAGGGGGCAAGCGUUAUCCGGAUUUACUGGGUGUAAAGGGAGCGUAGGCGGUUAUGCAAGUCUGAAGUGAAAGCCCUGGGCUCAACCAUGGAACUGCUUUGGAUACUGUAAAGCUGGAGUGCAGGAGAGGUAAGCAGAAUUCCUGGUGUAGCGGUGAAAUGCGUAGAGAUUAGGAGGAACACCAGUGGCGAAGGCGGCUUACUGGACUGUGACUGACGCUGAGGCACGAAAGCGUGGGGAUCGAACAGGAUUAGAUACCCUAGUAGUC